GACGAACGCUGGCGGCAUGCUUAACACAUGCAAGUCGAACGGAACCGCCCUGCCUUGGUGGGCUGCUCGAGUUGCCAACUGGUGAGUAACACGUGAGUAACCUGCCACUCACUUUGGGAUAACUUCAGGAAACUGGGGCUAAUCCCGGAUAGGAGCUCUUGCUGCUUGGUGGGGGUUGGAAAGUUUCGGCGGUUGGGGGUGGACUGGCGGCCUAUCAGCUUGUUGGUGGGGUAGUGGAUUACCAAGGCCUUGACGGGUAGCCGGCCUGAGAGGGUGACCGGCCACACUGGGACUGAGAUGCGACCCAGACUCGUACGGGAGGCAGCGGAGGAGUAUAGUGUACAAUGGGCGGAAGGCUGGUGCAGCACCGCAGCGUGGGGGAAGACGGCCAUCGGUUUGUAUAGCGCAUCCGCCUGUGACGAGGCGUGAGUGACGGUAAUGGGUGAAGAAGCACCGGCUAACUACGUG
rnacentral:rRNA from 1 species